rnacentral:rRNA from 1 species
AUUGAACGCUGGCGGCAGGCCUAACACAUGCAAGUCGAACGGUAACAGGAAGAAGCUUGCUUCUUUGCUGACGAGUGGCGGACGGGUGAGUAAUGUCUGGGAAACUGCCUGAUGGAGGGGGAUAACUACUGGAAACGGUAGCUAAUACCGCAUAACGUCGCAAGACCAAAGAGGGGGACCUUCGUGCCUCUUGCCAUCGGAUGUGCCCAGAUGGGAUUAGCUAGUAGGUGGGGUAACGGCUCACCUAGGCGACGAUCCCUAGCUGGUCUGAGAGGAUGACCAGCCACACUGGAACUGAGACACGGUCCAGACUCCUACGGGAGGCAGCAGUGGGGAAUAUUGCACAAUGGGCGCAAGCCUGAUGCAGCCAUGCCGCGUGUAUGAAGAAGGCCUUCGGGUUGUAAAGUACUUUCAGCGGUGAGGAAGGGAGUAAAGUUAAUACCUUUGCUCAUUGACGUUACCCGCAGAAGAAGCACCGGCUAACUCCGUG